rnacentral:rRNA from 1 species
UACGGGGGGGGCAAGCGUUGUUCGGAAUUACUGGGCGUAAAGGGCGCGUAGGUGGCCAACUAAGUCAGACGUGAAAUCCCUCGGCUUAACCGGGGAACUGCGUCUGAUACUGGAUGGCUUGAGUUUGGGAGAGGGAUGCGGAAUUCCAGGUGUAGCGGUGAAAUGCGUAGAUAUCUGGAGGAACACCGGUGGCGAAGGCGGCAUCCUGGACCAAUACUGACACUGAGGAGCGAAAGCCAGGGGAGCAAACGGG